CCCUUUCUACCGAACUGAGGGAAGAAGUACCAUCAGUCUUUUGCCGAGGGAUGAUGCUUGAAGGUGUAGAAAUUCCUAAACAAAGAAAGAGUCGGCCGAACUCCAGCUAAACUACAAAGAGAAAAAAAUCCUAUCAAAAACCUAAAGGAGUUCGGCGCUACUGAGACUAGAGAAAUAUUCAGAAAAUAAAAGAGAGCGACGACAAA
rnacentral:lncRNA from 1 species